GAACACGUGAGGAACCUGCCCCAAACUUUGGGAUAACAGUUGGAAACGACUGCUAAUACCAGAUGCCGUUACUUUGUCGCAUGGCGAGGUAACGAAAGUUUUUCGGUUUGGGAGGGCCUCGCGGCCUAUCAGCUUGUUGGUGAGGUAAUGGCUCACCAAGGCAACGACGGGUAGCUGGUCUGAGAGGAUGAUCAGCCACACUGGGACUGAGACACGGCCCAGACUCC
rnacentral:rRNA from 1 species